GGUUCCAUGGUGUAAUGGUAAGCACUCUGGACUUUGAAUCCAGUGAUCCGAGUUCGACCCUCGGUGGAACCU
rnacentral:tRNA from 1 species